ensembl:lncRNA
AGUUGAUGGGUUUGUCUGGUCAUGGUCAGUGUCAAUCCGAAAAAUAGAGUAGCAGUGUGGAGUUUUAAAACGCAGAAAAUGAACCAGCAAUUCAGCACUUUCAGUUCCCUUCCCUCAAAGUGGAUGUUUCUUUUGGAAUGGGUUUUGGAUUGAAGGCAUCGGUUAACACAAGAUCGGGAGGUUUUUAAAGUUUGGUCGUACCACUUAAAACACAUGUUGUAUUCAACUUGGGAAUUCCAGAUUUGUGUGUGUGUGUGUGAGAUGUAAAAACGUCUAUGAAAGAAAGUACUAGAUCAAAGAGCUCUUGAUUCAUGCACAUUUAUAUUUUAUGUGCAGGCGGAAACACACGCUGUGAUGACUUCCCAUUUGUCUGCUUGUGCCCAGCAAAGUUUAUCAGUGUUGAUGAGAAGAACCGAGCUGCCGGUGCGUGAGACCGGAGAACAGGAAUCCCGACGCGGUGCUCGUCCGGGUGAAAGAGACCAAACACCUUACUUGUAAACAGGUACGCCCACGAUGACGACGCAGACGGCAAAGUCCCAGCGACACCUGGUGGAGAUUCGGGAGGAAGAAGGGACGUCAUCGCCGUGUCACAUGACCACUAGAUGGCCUCGUCAGUUUGAGCUGACUGCAUGUAGAUGCUUCAUGAUAGAAGUCUGUAAACCGAAGUCAACGUUCCCGAAGGAUGAAUGGACGUUUAGAUGAUGUUGAUUAGAUAAGUAUUGUGUAUUUAGGCUACUGCUAACAUAUACAAAUAAUGAUGUGAUGCAGUGGUGGAAGAAGACAUCAGCAGCUUAACAUCAGUAAACGUAACACCUGAAUGUAAAUGUAACCAUUGCAGAUUGACCAGUAAAAGCCUUGUAUUCAUAAAGGUAUUAUAAGAAAAUAAGCUUUAAAUAAAAUCCUCCUUCUUUUAUUGAUGAAUUAAGUAGCAUUGUAAUGGUAUCGCUGGUCAAAGUGGAGCGAUAUAGACGGUUCUAUACUUGAUGUUUGACCUAGCAUAUGCAGUGUUUUAAAUCUCUAAUAUCACACCAUAGACGCCUUUUCUUUUUUAGCUCGGCCUACAGCGAGCUAAAACUGAAAUAAAAGACAAAAGGAGUUGAGUAUACG